rnacentral:rRNA from 1 species
UAAGCCAUGCAUGUCUAAGUCCAAGCUGUGUUCACACGGCGAGACCGCGGACGGCUCAUUAAAUCAGUCGUGGUCCAAAUGGGCCAGUGCAAAUCCUACUUGGAUAACUGUGGUAAUUCCAGAGCUAAUACAUGCAACUGAUAUCCCGAAGGCGGUGUUUGGGCUUGCUUGCCUUGCGCUGCGCUGCUCUGACGGAUGCUUUUAUUAGACCAAGCCGCUGAGGACUUGAGGGUUCGCGCUCUCUUGUCUGACUCGUGUGAUGGUGACUCUGGAUAACCAAAUUCUGACAAGCGCACGUACUUCUCUUCUGAGCGAGACGGCGCUGCCACUUUCGAGUGUCUGCCUUAUCAGCUAUCAACCGUUCGUUAUGCGCGACCGAUGGCUUUGACGGGUAACGGGGAAUCAGGGUUCGAUUCCGGAGAGGCAGCCUGAGAGACGGCUACCACGUCCAAGGACGGCAGCAGGCACGCAAAUUACCCAAUCCCAGCAAAUGGGGGAGGUAGUGACGAAAUCUAACGAUGCGGGCGCCCUUUCUGGGGCCCCGCAAUCGGAAUGGGCACUUUCUAAACAACCUG